rnacentral:lncRNA from 1 species
AGGGUAUCAUGUCACUAACUCAGCCUCCUCCAGCUCUUCCCCAAUACUUGCAAGAAAAUGAGAUCAGCCAAGAAACCAGAGACAUGAUAUCUACUCUACCUAGAGAUCAAGGUUGGAUUGCAAGUCAUAUCUAUCAGUACCAAGGCUUUUGGCACUCAACUAGGCAGAUAGAAGGAGUCUUGGCGUGCCAAGAAAACUUCCGAGCUCAAGAUUCUGAUAUCCUACUUGUUACUACUCCCAAAUCAGGUACCACUUGGCUCAAGGCAAUCUUGUUUUCCCUUGUGAAACGAGGAGAGUAUUAUCAUCCAGAACCUCAAGACCACCCCUUGCUCACAAAAAACCCCCAUGUUCUUGUUCCCCAUUUGGAGAUUGGUUUGUACCUUCAGAAACCGGUACCUGACCUCAUGACCUCCUAUGCCCCUCCUCGGCUCUUUUCAAGUCACUUACCACUUGUGUCUCUACCGGAAUCAGUCAAAGAGACUGCUUGCAAGGUUGUCUAUCUGUGUAGGAACCCUAAGGACACAUUUGUUUCACUCUGGCACUUCGCAAACAAAUUGAGACCCGAGAGUUGGGGAAGCAUUUCACUUGAAGAAGCUUUGGAAUUGUUCUGCAGGGGAGUGAGUAUGUGUGGACCCUUUUGGGAUCAUGUUUUGGGGUACUGGAAUGAGAGCUUGAAAAGGCCUCAAAGUGUAUUUUUCAUCAAAUAUGAGGAAAUGAAAGAAGAAGAAGAAGCCGGUUCUCACUUGAGGAAGCUAGCUGAGUUCUUGGGGUGCCCAUUUUCUCCAGAAGAAGAGGCACAAGGGGUGGUGGGCAACAUCCUGAAGCAGUGUAGUUUUGAGACUUUGAGCAAUUUGGAUGUGAACAAAAGAGGGAAGUUAUCAUCCGGCGAGGAGCAUAGUGCUUUCUUUCGGCGAGGGGAGGCUGGAGAUUGGAGGAAUCAUUUGACUGCUGAGAUGGCGGAACAGAUAGACCGUAUCACUGAAGAGAAGUGGCAAGGUUCUGGAUUGAAAUUCUAAGUGUGCAUGUGUGCAUGUGUUUGAUUACUUCUUUGUUGUUUGUGUUUGUGUGUGGACUUUGACCUUGGUUAAUUGGUCCUAAUGUCAGUAUCUUCAAUCUCAUUAGAUAAAAUGUAUGACCUUGGUUAAUUGGUCCUAAUGUCAGUAUCUUCAAUCUCAUUAGAUAAAAUGUAUGAAUUUGACCUUGGUUAGUUCCAACGUCAAUAUUUGAAUCUUGUGAAAUAAAAGUAUUGCCGAUUUGCUGUCCAAUAUUACUGUAUCAAAGACACGAAUGAAAUUUAUAAACAGAUGAAUGCCAAUAGCUACACACAUCUGGCUUCAGCAUGCUACUGUUAGACUGUACUACAUUUCGGAUUUAUCUUCGACAUAUUAGCUAGCUUCUCUUCCUGAUCGAUCAGAUCGUAUAGUGAAAAAACUAGAAUGUUUCUAGCAGCGAAAUAGUCUGAUAGGGCGUGAAAGUUUGCAGAAGAUUUGGGAAGGGAAGACAGAUGAUGCACCUCUAUGAAUUCCAGAGAGUUUCAGUGAUGGCUCUCAAACCCCACCGCCUCCAUAAACGGGGAUGUAUUCACCUCUGCAUUCAUUUUAGACUUCGGAUUUUCUCUUUAUCAUGACUAGAGUUCAAUGCUAUUUCGGACUUGAGCAGAAUGAACAAGCACAACAGAGAGGAGGUUCUGCAGAAAGCCGAAAAGGAUUUAGUCGCAGUGGCAGAUCAGUUCAUGGUCUGGCUGAUUAAGGAGCUGCAAGGGACUGAUUUUUGGAUGCUACGACAAGCAUACUCGCCUGGGGUAGCUUCUACUUGUGCUGCAUUAUUAUGUGGUGUUGAUUCGCUUGAGUUGUGGUUUGGUGUUGCAGAUACAAGAGCGUGUUGAAGCUGCAACCUUCUGUAAAUUCUGCGGGAAAAUGUAGGCGAGCUGAUUAUGGAUUAAGAGUACUGCAGGUAACUGAAAGUGAUGAAUGCUUUGGAUUUUGACUAAAGUAUAUACGUUGCUGCCCAGCUUGCAAAUUUAACUGGAGAGAUGAUGCUGGAGGCAAUUGUGCUGGUGAAGUUGAUGUUGCUGAGAAGACAUGCAAGUUUGUGCUUGAAAUUUACAGGGAACUGACUCCGGUUUGUCCCCUUUAUGGAUGAUAUAUAGUAAUGAAUAUAAUGUCUAUAAUGUUAAGAUAUAAACACAACUGUUCUUUGAUCAGUAGGGGACUAUACAUCUGACGUUCUGACCAAACCUUCAAAGCCAAAACCAAACCCAUAAACGUGGUUGCCUACUAUAUAAUGGAAGCCGUCCCAUGCUUGUUAGCAGGCAAUAUAUUGAGGUUUAAUAUUAACAGCUUUUCUAUGUUAAGAUUUUAUCGAGAUUUUCUUACGCAUCUUUCGAUACUAAUUGAGGUUUAAUAUUACAGUCGAACUUUUCUAUGUUAAGAUUUUAUCAAGAUUUUCUUACGCAUCUUUCGAUACUGAUUGAGGUUUAAUAUUACAGUCGAGCUUUUCUAUAUUAAGAUUCAUCAAGAUUUUCUUACGCAUCUUCCGAUAUUAAAAUGUCGUAGGUAAAGAAAACUGUCUCUUUGAUCAAUAGGCUGGGGAUAUAUACAUCUGUGCUAGCUCGUUUAGUAGGCAAUCAAAAUCUGAUCGUUUCGUGACUACCAGAAGGGUAUCAUGUCACUAACUCAGCCUCCUCCAGCUCUUCCCCAAUACUUGCAAGAAAAUGAGAUCAGCCAAGAAACCAGAGACAUGAUAUCUACUCUACCUAGAGAUCAAGGUUGGGUUGUAAGUCAUCUCUAUCAGUACCAAGGCUUUUGGCACUCAACUAGGCAGAUAGAAGGAGUCUUGGCGUGCCAAGAAAACUUCCGAGCUCAAGAUUCUGAUAUCUUACUUGUUACUACUCCCAAAUCAGGUACCACUUGGCUUAAGGCAAUCUUGUUUUCCCUUGUGAAACGAGGAGAGUAUUAUCAUCCAGACCCUAAAGACCACCCCUUCCUCACGAAAAACCCUCAUGUUCUUGUGCCCUUCUUGGAGCUUGGUCUGUACCUUCAGAAACCGGUACCUGACCUCGCCUCCUAUGCCCCUCCUCGGCUCUUUUCAACUCACUUACCACUUGUGUCUCUACCGGAAUCAGUCAAAGACUCUGCUUGCAAGGUUGUCUAUCUGUGUAGGAACCCUAAGGACACAUUUGUUUCACUCUGGCACUUCGCAAACAGAUUGAGACCCGAGAGUCGGGGAAGCAUUUCACUUGAAGAAGCUUUAGAAUUGUUCUGCAGGGGAGUGAGUUUGUAUGGACCCUUCUGGGAUCAUGUUUUGGGGUACUGGAAUGAGAGCUUGAAAAGGCCUCAAAGUGUAUUUUUCAUCAAAUAUGAGGAAAUGAAAGAAGAAGAAGAAGCCGGUUCUCACUUGAGGAAGCUAGCUGAGUUCUUGGGGUGCCCAUUUUCUCCAGAAGAAGAGGCACAAGGGGUGGUGGGCAACAUCCUGAAGCAUUGUAGUUUUGAGACUUUGAGCAAUUUGGAUGUGAACAAAAGAGGGAAGUUAUCAUCCGGCGAGGAGCAUAGUGCUUUCUUUCGGCGAGGGGAGGCUGGAGAUUGGAGGAAUCAGUUGACUGCUGAGAUGGCGGAACAGAUAGACCGUAUCACUGAAGAGAAGUUGCAAGGUUCUGGAUUGAAAUUUUAAGUGUGCAUGUGUUUUUUUACUUCUUUGUUGUUCGUGUUUGUGUGUGGACUUUGACCUUGGUUAAUUGGUUCUAAUGUCAGUAUCUUCAAUCUCAUGAAAUAAAAUGUAUGAAUUUGACCUUGGUUAGUUCCAACGUCAAUAUUUGAAUCUUGUGAAAUAAAAGUAUUGCCAAUUUGCUGUCCAAUAUUACUGUAUCAAAGACACGAAUGAAAUUUAUAAACAGAUGAAUGCCAAUAGGUACAUGCAUCUGGCUUCAGCAUGCUAACUGUUAGACUGUACUACAUUUCGGAUUUAUCUACUGACAUAUUAGCUAGCUUCUCUUCCUGAUCGAUCAGAUUGUAUAGUGAAAAAACUAGAAUGUUUCUAGCAGGGAAAUAGUCUGAUAGGGCUUGAAAGUUUGCAGAAGAUUUGGGAAGGGGAGACAGAUGAUGCACCUCUAUGGAUUCCAGAGAGUUUCAGUAGGGGACUUAUACAUCUGACAUUCUGACCAAACCUUCAAAGCCAAAGCCAAAGCCAUAUACGUGGUACCUACUAUAGAAUGGAAGACGGCCGUCCAUGCUCGUCAGCAGGCAAUAUAUUAAGGUUCAAUAUUAAAGUCAAGCUUUUCUAUAUCAAGAGUUUAUCGAGACUGCAUCUUCGGAUAUUAAAAUGCGUAGAUAAAGAAAACUGAUCUUUGAUCAAUAGGCUGGGGAGAUAUACAUCUGACCAAACCUUCAAUGUUCUAAGCCAAAGCAACUCCAUAUAACGGAAGCAAAUUGGUGCUAGCUCGUUUAGUAGGGAAUUAAAAUCUGAUCGUUUCGCUACUACCAGAAGGGUAUCAUGUCACAGACUCAGCCUCCCCCAGCUCUUCCCCAAUACUUGCAAGAAAAUGAUCUCAGCCAAGAAACCAGAGACAUGAUAUCCACUCUGCCUAGAGAUCAAGGUUGGAUUUCAAAUCAUGUCUAUCAGUACCAAGGUUUUUGGCUCACAACUAUUCAGAUAGAAGGAGUCUUGUCGUUCCAAGAAAACUUCCGAGCCCAAGAUUCUGAUAUCUUACUUGUUGCUACUCCCAAAUCAGGCACCACUUGGCUCAAGGCAAUCUUGUUUUCCCUAGAGAAUAAACGAGGAGAGUAUUAUCAUCCAGAGCCUCAAGACCACCCCUUGCUCACAAAAAACCCUCAUGUUCUUGUUCCCUAUUUGGAGAUUGGUUUGUACCUUCGGAAACCGGUACCUGACCUCAUGACCUCCUAUGCCCCUCCUCGGCUCUUUUCAAGUCACUUACCACUUGUGUCUCUGCCGGAAUCAGUCAAAGACUCUGCUUGCAAGGUUGUCUAUCUGUGUAGGAACCCUAAGGACACAGUUGUUUCACUCUGGCACUUCGC